rnacentral:rRNA from 1 species
AUUGAACGCUGGCGGCAUGCCUUACACAUGCAAGUCGAACGGUAACGGGCCUUCGGGCGCCGACGAGUGGCGAACGGGUGAGUAAUACAUCGGAACGUGCCCGAUCGUGGGGGAUAACGAGGCGAAAGCUUUGCUAAUACCGCAUACGAUCUACGGAUGAAAGCAGGGGACCGCAAGGCCUUGCGCGGACGGAGCGGCCGAUGGCAGAUUAGGUAGUUGGUGGGAUAAAAGCUUACCAAGCCGACGAUCUGUAGCUGGUCUGAGAGGAUGAUCAGCCACACUGGGACUGAGACACGGCCCAGACUCCUACGGGAGGCAGCAGUGGGGAAUUUUGGACAAUGGGCGCAAGCCUGAUCCAGCCAUGCCGCGUGCAGGAUGAAGGCCUUCGGGUUGUAAACUGCUUUUGUACGGAACGAAAAGCCUUCUUUUAAUACAGGAGGGUCAUGACGGUACCGUAAGAAUAAGCACCGGCUAACUACGUG